GAAGCAAGAAAUAGUCACAGGACUGCCCUGG
rnacentral:piRNA from 1 species